CAAGAGUUCUAGGGUCGCUGGCGAGAACACGCGGCGGCCCCACCUCUCCAUCCCCUGUUUAUUCACCGUGCCCGACCCGUGAAAAGGUCGGCACAACCCUUUACUGCGGCAAUGCAGGAAGUGUAGCCGGUUUCGCGCCGCUACCAAAGAAGCAAAACAUAAA
rnacentral:misc_RNA from 1 species